rnacentral:misc_RNA from 1 species
GUGAAUCAUCAAAUCUUUGAACGCAUAUUGCACUCCCUGGUAUUCCGGAGAGUAUGCCUAUUUGAGGGUCAUUUGUAAUAAUAUAAAUUCCAAGAUUUCUCGGAAUUUAAAAUGGGUUGUCCAUUUUAUGUGGUCUCCUAAAAUUAAAGAAAAGCCAAUUUUCUUGGGUUGCGUGAUACUUUCAGUUAUUUUGUGAUUUAACCAGGAAUA